rnacentral:misc_RNA from 1 species
ACUAGAAUAAUUCACUUUAAAUGAAGAAAAAUACGACACGAAUCGUCAAUGGUUAAUAUAUAUCCUUGUUUCCGUGGUGGAAGGGACAUCGCGAGAGAACGUGGAAUCGAGGCCACUUAAUUUCCCUGCGAAUCUAUUUAUAUCAGAGGUUCGAGUCACGGUUUUGUAACCAGAUUACCGAAUAGUUCCAGCAUCGCUAAGGAAUCGGUAACGUCCCGUGAACUUCCGCCGCCGCGUCACCUUCACCCUUGGCCAGUCCACCUCGCCAUCGCUAGUUUCUGUGUACCCGGCAGUUUCGCGAACGAGAAUGGCGAUUCUGCCAUUUACAGGGAGAAAUCGAAAAGUAAGAUGGAUAUCUUGGAACGACAUCGUUGCAACGUUAUUAUAGACAAGAAUACAGCUUUUAUCCGUCACGACAGGGACCACCAUCACUCUUCGUGACGUUUCUCGUAUUACUCGCACACUGUACAAAUUGUACAGCGUUUCACGCGACGCUCAUGUACUUUUUCUUUUUAGUUAGGAAAUCGCCGUUCCCUAAAGCUAAGGUAUUCGUUUCGUACCAUCGCAGUAUUGCUUGAUAUAAUUAACAUGCGAUCUUCGUAUACUUGAAGAAACACAAGAAUCUAUCAACCCUUACAAUAAGAUCCACUUUUCUUCCAUCGACCAUACUUUCCCUUUUCAAACACGAAUUAUUUGAGUACAAGUGGUUCUUUAUGUCGUUAGCUAAAUUUUGGCGAAGUUAAUAUUUACAUAACAUUUUCAUCAUUAAUAAAUGAGUACACACAAUGCAAAAUCGAUAUUUU